UGAAUGCCCUUUAUAAUCCUGAGCAACGAUUAUAACCCCAUUGCUACAGCUUCGCUUAAGGGCAAUAUUAUAUGUUUUAUUAUCCUAGCACCCAAAUGUCUAUAUCCUAUUUGCGGUACUCGAGAAACGUAGAACAACAUUU